rnacentral:rRNA from 1 species
UACGUAGGGUGCGAGCGUUAAUCGGAAUUACUGGGCGUAAAGUGUGCGCAGGCGGUUGAGCAAGUCGAGUGUGAAAGCCCCGGGCUUAACUUGGGAAUUGCGCUCGAAACUACUUGACUGGAGUGUGGCAGAGGAAGGUGGAAUUCCGACGUGUAGCGGUGAAAUGCGUAGAGAUGUGGAGGAACACCAAUGGCGAAGGCAGCCUUCUGGGCCAACACUGACGCUCAUGCACGAAAGCGUGGGGAGCAAACGGG